CCCCGCGCAGGUGCAGCAGGGGCCCUUCCUGGGGCGCACCGCGCGCCUUGCCCCGGCGGGCUCUCCCUGGGGCAGCCUCUAGGGGGCUGCGGGAGGGGCCCAAGUCCCGAUGCAUGAGGGGGGGCCUGCCUGGGCCGGGACUGAGGAGGCGGGGGGCAGGGGAACAGCUCCGGGUUCAGGGGCUGGAGACUGCGAGGGGAAGGAGUGGGGGUGGGGAGGGGGCGGUCCGGAGAGGAGGAGGGCGGGCGCUAACGUUGCUGAGAGCAUCAGACCCACGCCCAGGCCAGCUUCCCCGGUUUCUAAGCUGCGCUGUGGCCAGGUGGUGUUUGAGAACUUAGUGCACAGGGCACUCGGCGGGGGUGCCUCGGAGAACCCGGAAUCGGGGGGCUGCGGGGGGAGGGGGAGGGGAACAGGCCCCCUUUUCCAUCUCCUGCUUCAGUGCGCACCCAGGGCCCGGGCAUCUCAGAAGGAGAAAGGGACAACCCACUCCAGACGGAGCAUUUCUCAGGAAACAGGAAAGCGGGAGCGCACGGGAGGCGCGCAGGUGCUCCAAGCGCCCGCCCGAUCGCUUCUGAGGCGCCGGAGGAGGCGAGGGAGAGGGCGAGAGGGGAAAGCAAGAUGGAAGAGCAAGCAAUUUCUAAGAAAGCAGUCCUGGGGGAGAGGGAAGGCUCCUGCCCUCAAGCUCUGCCCCUUCCUGCUUUCUGCGUCACAGAGACAGGAGAGGGCAGGUCGGACAGCUCAUUUUACACGACAAACUGAAAGGACAGCGUAAAAUGAUUUGUCCAAGUUCACACAGCUAGUAAUUGUCUGCUUUGGAGUUGAAUUGAGGAAGAUAAUUCCAGAACUGGCACACUUUCCAGCUGCCAUGAGAGAAGAUAAUACCGAUCUUCAAACACUUCUAGAACAAGAUCAGGGAAGAGGGAAUAAACUUACUCUUUUUGACCUCAGAAGAAAGCAGGGGCCGAUGGCAUGGAAGUUCCAAGGAGAUAAAUCUCAGUUCAGUAUACCAAGCAUUCUGGGAAAGGGGGACCAGCUGUAUCCCGGAGUUUGCAGAGGCAUGCAGCUGCUUAUGAUUUCCCGGAUCUAUUUAAGGCAGCCCUUUUUGUAGUGUCAAGGAAUCAGAAACUGAGUGGAUACUCAUCAGUUGGGGAAUAGCUGAAAAAGUUAUGGAAUGUUAUGGAAUAUUAUCAUUCUAUAAGAUACGACUAGUAGGAUGAUUUCAGAGAACCCUGGAGAGACCUACAUGAACUGAUGCGAAGUGAAGUGAGUAAAACCAAGAGAACAUUGUACAUAGCAACAAGAUUAUGUGAUGAUCAACUAUGAUGGACUUGGCUGUUUUCGACAAUGUGAUGAUUCAGGCCAAUUCCAAUAGAGUUGUGAUGGAGAGCCAUCUGCACCUAGAGAGAGGACUGUGGAGACUGAAUGUGUAUUAUGACAUAGUAUUUUCACUUUUUUGUUGUUGUUGGUUUGCUUGUUUUCUCAUUUUUUUUCUCUUUUUGAUCUGAUUUUUCUUAUGCAGUAUGAUAAAUGUAGAAAUAUAUUUAGAAGAAUUGCACAUGUUUAACCUCUAUUGGAUUACUUGCUGUCUAGGGGAAAGAAAGACGGGGAAGAGUGGGAGAAAAAUUUGGAACACAGGUUUUUGCAAGGGUGAAUGUUGAAAACUAUCUGCAU
ensembl:lncRNA